rnacentral:rRNA from 1 species
AUACGUAGGGGGCAAGCGUUAUCCGGAUUUACUGGGUGUAAAGGGAGCGUAGACGGCAAAGCAAGUCUGAAGUGAAAGCCCCGGGCUCAACCCGGGAAUUGCUUUGGAAACUGUUUAGCUGGAGUGCAGGAGAGGUAAGCGGAAUUCCUAGUGUAGCGGUGAAAUGCGUAGAUAUUAGGAGGAACACCGGCGGCGAAGGCGGCUUACUGGACUGUAACUGACGUUGAGGCUCGAAAGCGUGGGGAGCAAACAGGAUUAGAUACCCUGGUAGUCCACGCCGUAAACGAUGAUUACUAGGUGUUGGUUGUCAUAGACAAUCGGUGCCGCAGCAAACGCAAUAAGUAGUCCACCUGGGGAGUACAUUCGCAAGAAUGAAACUCAAAUGAAUUGACGGGG